AGUUUCGAAGUACACGUGAGACCAUUAAAUGUGGACUUGAGAGGAAUUAAACUAUCAGAGGUGUUGCUUGACCAUUCCUUUUUUGAAACGAUAAAAACAAUCAUUGCCUCUCUCGAACAGAGGUGGAAGGAGAGGUGACGAGCGUUUUUCUCAGCUUUGUGCUAGCGGUUUGAGCUGGGUUGAGGCCGCUCGUAAGCUUUGUCUCAACACUGAAAUAUUUAUUCCGACUGUGACUUUCCUGUGAAUGUACUGCACUUAGAUUACUGAGAAGACUAAUGCCUUGUGGGACAGAGAGGGGGAAAAUAAAGAAAAAUUGGAUGGGCACAGCGGUCCCUGGCGUUAAAUUAGCAUUUCUUUUGUCAGUCAAAUUUCACCGGUAAAUUGAAUUUAGAAACUCAAGUGAGUCGACAGGGGUUUCUGGCGGAGGCAAAAAGCUGGCUACAGUCUAGAUUUAUGAAGUGCAAUUAUUAUGACUGUAUUAACAAUUUUGUUUUCUCUGAGCUUACACCAAAAAAAAAAAUAUGUAAAAGUACAGCUGUGUCUACAUUCCCAAUGUACCACAUACUCAUUCCCUUCUUGUUUUUGAGGUGCAAAAUAAAAUGAUUUCAAGAAUUUAUUGAGAAACCCACGUCUUUGCUUUGACCUUGUCUGUAUUACUAAAGGGAAAUUGUCAUGCAUGAACGGAAGCAGUUUGGGAGGUGGAAAAUGAACUUCUUGUAAUUGCAGAGAAGUACUUGCAGAGAUAUACUACCUACAAGAUAGGCGCUACUGAGUUUUUCACACUUGAAAUAGUUAGAAUUUAUGACUUAAAUUUUUGACUUAAUCCUGAUGAACUUAAUCCUAGAAUACUUAUACUUUAUUAUACAUUAGUAAUUAGUUUUGAGUAGUCAGGUUUUGAGUUUGCACACUGCAAACCCUGGGUUAAAAUUGCUAUUUGCAUAUUUAUGAGGUUAACAUAAUUGAAUUGACAAGUAAAGCAUGCAACAUAUUUUUAUCACUUAAAGUUUGCAGUCACUGUUCAACAUUUUUAUAUUUUAAUACUGUUAAAUGUAAAUUUUUGAGUCCUCUUAUAAUUAAGUUAAAACAUAAUAUUCACAUUCCCCAAAUUCUCUGUGACAGCUCACAUUUGAUGUGUUUUCACUGGAAUUCUUCUUAGUUUUUUUUUUUUUUUUUNUNUGUCUCUUUUUUUUUUUUUUUCUUCUUCUUCUUCUUCUUUUCUAACCACAUUAGGAUUUUAUGUCACACAUCUUGUGUUGUUAAAUUAAUGUUUAUUGCAUGAACGAUCAUUCACCUUGUCUCAGUGGUUCAACUGACUGUAAUUACAUUCCAAAACAUAGUCCAAAAGAUAUUUUGACUGAUUUAUUGAAUGUGGAGCUUCCCAUGUUGAGCAGUUUGAAACACUGAAGCCAAAACAUUGAUGUCGCGGAGCAGCUGAAAUACUUUGCUACAGUGUUUCUCCUCAGGAAAACAGCAAAAAUGCUACAGUGCAUGUCCACAGAGAUCCAAUGUGUCUCUGCAGAGAAGCCAUGUAAGAAGUGAUUGUGUUAGUCAGGCUGAACAUGCUUGGAGUGUGCCGUAUUGAUCUGCUGUAGAUUAGCUCAUAAUACGCCCACCGCUUGCUUUGAAGACAAACGAAGGGGACCAGCGAGGGAAUACGAGGCGCCUACAUUCUGCUUUCUACUAAUAGUCUUAGUCUUCUAAGUCUAGUAUUUUUUUUUUUUUUUUUUUUUUUUUACGUUUUCAGUCCAUCAGUACUGUUUGUGCUAGAUAAGGGGUGAUAUCCGAGAUAAAAUGCGCUCUGAAGUAUGUGAGCUCAUGUUGGUUUAGAGAAACCAGAGUUGUAACAGUCUAUAAACAUCUCAGAGUGCACGCUGUCUUUUUUCCGUGUGUAGUUUCUGUCAGCUUGAAAGAUGUGCGUCUGAUCACAUCCCUGGGGGCUUUAAUCUCUGCCUCCCUGCUGCUGUCAUCCUUUAUGUUCUAUCUCUGCUGUGUUAAUGGAUUUUAGAAGUCCGCUGCAGCGAAGGACUCUCUUUCAAUCUCUUUCUUUUUCUCGUGUUCUGCCCUCUACAAUUCAGAGUGCAGGCUUUAGUUUUAUUCAGAAAUAGAAUGGACCAGGGUCAGAAAUUAACUUUUCCAUUAAGGGCCAGUUGUUGCCCCCUGUAAUUGAUUUAUCAGCGGCAUUUUUUACAUUUGUGAGGGCAAUUUUUCACCACUUCAUAAUUGUGUCUGUGUUGUCUUUAAUGUCAAAUACUUGAAUUUAACCAAUUACUUAAAUCAAUCAAAAUACUUAAACUGUUGCCAAUAACAACUGACUGUUUAAAAUUGUAUCUAAAUUAUACUGUAUUUUUAAAAACAGGAGCUAAUAUGGCUACAAUAUUAUGACAAAAAUCAUUCUUGUCGACUGUUGCACUCGAUAUUGUAAUAAUGAUAAUUAAUGUUGAUUAACAGAAUACAUAUAAAAACUUGUUUGUGUUUUGUGUCUGUGUUUUUGGGAAACUAAAAUAAUACAGUAAAAAUUAUCGUUAUUUUAAAUGUAAAAGACUAAAAUCCUAAAAACCUGUUAAGUGGUUAGCAAUAAGUACUCUUUACGUGAAAUACUCUUAAAAUAUCAUGGGACUUUUCAUGUAAGUUUACAGUAAAAUACUGUUGAAUGUUCCAGUUUUGGAAUUAAAAACUAACAAAUCAACUUAACAAUUUACAAUAAAAAAAAAAUAGUAAAUUGAUAUUCUCUGUGUGACAGAUUGCAUUUGAUGGGUUUUUA
rnacentral:lncRNA from 1 species